CUCAAGAAGAGGUUUGGCAGUAACAAAGUUUAGCUAUUCUGCUGGCCAUCACUCCGGAAAGUGUUCCCACGAAGUGGCUGACUUAAAAAGUCUUUCAGCCCACAUGGCUUACUCAUCUUUCAAGUGCAAGGCAGCUCUGCGUGGAGGAUGAUCUCACUCCGGACAAGUAAACACCAAUACCACCAACCUGAGUAGGCCUUCCAUGAAAUACUGGGGACACUAAGAAGCCACACCCCCUGAAACAUUCUAUGGUCAUUCAGCAUUUGAAGCAAAUUGGAAAGGUGAAAAACCUGAUAAGUGGGUGCCUCAUGAGCUCACCGAAAAUUUUUUUAAAAAUUGUCGUUUUGAAGUGUCAUCUUCUCUUAUUCUAUGCAACAACAAUGAACCAUUUCUUGAUUGGAUUGUGAUGUGCGAGGAAAAGUGGAUUUUAUAUGACAACUGGCGAUGACCAGCUCAGUGGUUGGACCGAGAAGAAGCUCCAAAACACUUCCCAAAGCCAAACUUGCACCAAAAAAGGUCCUGGUCACUGCUUGGUGGGCUGCUGCUGGUCUGAUCCACUGCAGCUUUCUGAAUCCCUGGGAAACCAUUACACCUGAGAAGUAUGCUCAGCAAACCAAUGAGAUGCACCAAAAACUGCAAUGCCUGCAGCUGGCUUUGGUCAACAGGAAGGGCCCAAUUCUUCUCCACCACAAUGUCCGACUGCACAUCACAACCCACGCUUCAGAAGUUGAACAAAUUGGGCUACGAAGUUUUGCCUCAUCUCCCAUGUUCACCUGACCUCUCGCUGAGAAGUAGCUUUGGAGCUUCUUCUCGGUCCAAACACUGAGCUGGUCAUCGCCGGUUGUCAUAUAAAAUCCACUUUUCCUCGCACAUCACAAUCCAAUCAAGAAAUGGUUCAUUGUUGUUGCAUAGAAUAAGAGAAGAUGACACUUCAAAACUACCACUUCUUCAAGCAUCUCAACAACUUUUUGCAGGGAAAAUGCUUCCACAACCAGCAGGAUGCAGAAAAUGCUCUCCAAAAGUUUGUCAAAUCCUGAAGCAUGGAUUUUUAGGCUACAGGAAUAAACGUAUUUCUCACUGGCAGAAAUUUAUUGAUUGUAAUGAUUCCUUUUUUGGUUAAAGACAUGUUUGAGCCUAGUUAUAACGACUUACAAUUCACGGUCCAAAACUGCAAGUACUUUUUGCACCAGCGAGAUGUGCAUAUGAGAAGCUUAUUUCACCAAGCCUCUUAUCUAGUCAUCUGUAUAAUUAUUUCAAGCACAGGAGGGACCCUACUUCUUACUGGGGAGGAUUAAGGAAGGCUUCCUGGAGGAUUGUCUCAGAGCUUGCUGCAGGUGCAUAUUGAAAAGCAAUUCAUUACAAUUUUCUAUAAGAGACUGUGGCUGAACAAUGAUACACAGAUUAGCAAACUGAGGCUUGGAGAAGUGGAAAACUUGCCUAAGAUUAAACAGCAUUAAAGGAACAGAGGCUGGGCUUGCAACUCAGCUCUGGGACUCCAAAGUCUGCCCUUUCCAACUACAUCGUCUUGCUGAUCGCGAGCUCAGUUGAUGGUAAAGACCUGUGAUUUUGGCCAUUACAAACAGUGCUGUUGUGAAUGUUGUGCCUGCCUGUCUUCCAGCUGGACAUAGGAUGCUCCUGGAAAUCUGGGCCAGCCACAGAACCCUGUUUGUGCUGCGGACGCUGUGUGGAGACGUUUUGCAAUGCCCGAGGGAGGCUGGCACACCAGGGAUGCAGAGACAGUCAGCCGGAGCCCAAUGAGAGCUG
rnacentral:lncRNA from 1 species